rnacentral:rRNA from 1 species
GCGAACGCUGGCGGCAGGCCUAACACAUGCAAGUCGAGCGGGCGUAGCAAUACGUCAGCGGCAGACGGGAGAGUAACACGUGGGAACGCGCCCUUCGGUUCGGAAUAACUCAGGGAAACUUGAGCUAAUACCGAAUACGCCCUAACGGGGAAAGAUUUAUCGCCGAAGGAACGGCCCGCGUCCGAUUAGCUAGUUGGUGAGGUAAUGGCUCACCAAGGCAACGAUCGGUAGCUGGUCUAAGAGGAUGAUCAGCCUCACUGGGACUGAGACACGGCCCAGACUCCUACGGGAGGCAGCAGUGGGGAAUAUUGGACAAUGGGCGCAAGCCUGAUCCAGCCAUGCCGCGUGGAUGAUGAAGGCCCUAGGGUUGUAAAGCUCUUUUACCCGGGAUGAUAAUGACAGUACCGGGAGAAUAAGCUCCGGCUAACUCCGU